rnacentral:rRNA from 1 species
AAUGAACGUUGGCGGCGUGGAUUAGGCAUGCAAGUCGAACGGGCCCGGUCUUCGGACCGGGUCAGUGGCGCAAGGGUGAGUAAGACGACGGUAACCAACCCCAUGGUCGGGCAUAGCCGCGGGAAACUGCGGGUAAUUCCCAGCGACGUCCGGCUCGGGCAUCCGAGCUGGACCAAAGCUCCGGCGCCGUGGGACGGGCUGUCGUGGUAUUAGGUUGUUGGCGGGGUAAUGGCCCACCAAGCCUGCGAUGCCUACCGGGCGUGCGAGCGUGGCCCGGCACACUGGGACUGAGACACUGCCCAGACUCCUACGGGAGGCUGCAGUCGAGAAUCUUCGGCAAUGGGCGCAAGCCUGACCGAGCGACGCCGCGUGGAGGAUGAAGGCCCUCGGGUUGUAAACUCCUGUCGAGGGGGAGGAAGGCCGGGAAACCGGCUUGACCGAUCCCUGGAGGAAGCACGGGCUAAGUUCGUGCCAGCCGCCGCCGUAAGAC